rnacentral:rRNA from 2 species
UCAAGUGAAGAAGCGCAUACGGUGGAUGCCUUGGCAGUCAGAGGCGAUGAAAGACGUGGUAGCCUGCGAAAAGCUUCGGGGAGUCGGCAAACAGACUGUGAUCCGGAGAUGUCUGAAUGGGGGAACCCAGCCAUCAUAAGAUGGUUAUCUUGUACUGAAUACAUAGGUGCAAGAGGCGAACCAGGGGAACUGAAACAUCUAAGUACCCUGAGGAAAAGAAAUCAACCGAGAUUCCCUUAGUAGUGGCGAGCGAACGGGGACCAGCCCUUAAGUUGUAUUGAGAUUAGCGGAACACUCUGGAAAGGGUGGCCAUAGUGGGUGAUAGCCCUGUACGCGAAAAUCCCUUUGCAAUGAAAUCGAGUAGGACGGGGCACGAGAAACCUUGUCUGAAUAUGGGGGGACCAUCCUCCAAGGCUAAAUACUACUGACUGACCGAUAGUGAACCAGUACCGUGAGGGAAAGGCGAAAAGAACCGCGGAGAGCGGAGUGAAAUAGAUCCUGAAACCGUAUGCGUACAAGCAGUGGGAGCCCACUUUGUUGGGUGACUGCGUACCUUUUGUAUAAUGGGUCAGCGACUUAUUUUCAGUGGCGAGCUUAACCGAAUAGGGGAGGCGUAGCGAAAGCGAGUCUUAAUAGGGCGUCUAGUCGCUGGGAAUAGACCCGAAACCGGGCGAUCUAUCCAUGGGCAGGUUGAAGGUUGGGUAACACUAACUGGAGGACCGAACCGACUACCGUUGAAAAGUUAGCGGAUGACCUGUGGAUCGGAGUGAAAGGCUAAUCAAGCUCGGAGAUAGCUGGUUCUCCUCGAAAGCUAUUUAGGUAGCGCCUCAUGUAUCACUGUAGGGGGUAGAGCACUGUUUCGGCUAGGGGGUCAUCCCGACUUACCAAACCGAUGCAAACUCCGAAUACCUACAAGUGCCGAGCAUGGGAGACACACGGCGGGUGCUAACGUCCGUCGUGAAAAGGGAAACAACCCAGACCGUCAGCUAAGGUCCCAAAGUCAUGGUUAAGUGGGAAACGAUGUGGGAAGGCUUAGACAGCUAGGAGGUUGGCUUAGAAGCAGCCACCCUUUAAAGAAAGCGUAAUAGCUCACUAGUCGAGUCGGCCUGCGCGGAAGAUGUAACGGGGCUCAAACCAUGCACCGAAGCUACGGGUAUCAUCUUUUGAUGAUGCGGUAGAGGAGCGUUCUGUAAGCCUGUGAAGGUGAGUUGAGAAGCUUGCUGGAGGUAUCAGAAGUGCGAAUGCUGACAUGAGUAACGACAAUGGGUGUGAAAAACACCCACGCCGAAAGACCAAGGUUUCCUGCGCAACGUUAAUCGACGCAGGGUUAGUCGGUCCCUAAGGCGAGGCUGAAAAGCGUAGUCGAUGGAAAACAGGUUAAUAUUCCUGUACUUCUGGUUAUUGCGAUGGAGGGACGGAGAAGGCUAGGCCAGCCUGGCGUUGGUUGUCCAGGUUUAAGGUGGUAGGCUGAGAUCUUAGGUAAAUCCGGGAUCUUAAGGCCGAGAGCUGAUGACGAGUGUUCUUUUAGAACACGAAGUGGUUGAUGCCAUGCUUCCAAGAAAAGCUUCUAAGCUUCAGGUAACCAGGAACCGUACCCCAAACCGACACAGGUGGUUGGGUAGAGAAUACCAAGGCGCUUGAGAGAACUCGGGUGAAGGAACUAGGCAAAAUGGCACCGUAACUUCGGGAGAAGGUGCGCCGGUGGAGGUGAAGCAUUUACUGCGUAAGCCCCUGCCGGUCGAAGAUACCAGGCCGCUGCGACUGUUUAUUAAAAACACAGCACUCUGCAAACACGAAAGUGGACGUAUAGGGUGUGACGCCUGCCCGGUGCCGGAAGGUUAAUUGAUGGGGUUAGCGCAAGCGAAGCUCUUGAUCGAAGCCCCGGUAAACGGCGGCCGUAACUAUAACGGUCCUAAGGUAGCGAAAUUCCUUGUCGGGUAAGUUCCGACCUGCACGAAUGGCGUAACGAUGGCGGCGCUGUCUCCACCCGAGACUCAGUGAAAUUGAAAUCGCUGUGAAGAUGCAGUGUAUCCGCGGCUAGACGGAAAGACCCCGUGAACCUUUACUAUAGCUUUGCACUGGACUUUGAAUUUGCUUGUGUAGGAUAGGUGGGAGGCUUUGAAGCGUGGACGCCAGUCUGCGUGGAGCCAACCUUGAAAUACCACCCUGGCAACUUUGAGGUUCUAACUCAGGUCCGUUAUCCGGAUCGAGGACAGUGUAUGGUGGGUAGUUUGACUGGGGCGGUCUCCUCCUAAAGAGUAACGGAGGAGUACGAAGGUGCGCUCAGACCGGUCGGAAAUCGGUCGUAGAGUAUAAAGGCAAAAGCGCGCUUGACUGCGAGACAGACACGUCGAGCAGGUACGAAAGUAGGUCUUAGUGAUCCGGUGGUUCUGUAUGGAAGGGCCAUCGCUCAACGGAUAAAAGGUACUCCGGGGAUAACAGGCUGAUACCGCCCAAGAGUUCAUAUCGACGGCGGUGUUUGGCACCUCGAUGUCGGCUCAUCACAUCCUGGGGCUGAAGCCGGUCCCAAGGGUAUGGCUGUUCGCCAUUUAAAGUGGUACGCGAGCUGGGUUUAGAACGUCGUGAGACAGUUCGGUCCCUAUCUGCCGUGGACGUUUGAGAUUUGAGAGGGGCUGCUCCUAGUACGAGAGGACCGGAGUGGACGAACCUCUGGUGUUCCGGUUGUCACGCCAGUGGCAUUGCCGGGUAGCUAUGUUCGGAAAAGAUAACCGCUGAAAGCAUCUAAGCGGGAAACUUGCCUCAAGAUGAGAUCUCACUGGAACCUUGAGUUCCCUAAAGGGCCGUCGAAGACUACGACGUUGAUAGGUUGGGUGUGUAAGCGCUGUGAGGCGUUGAGCUAACCAAUACUAAUUGCCCGUGAGGCUUGACCAU